UAAGAAUAUUCCGCAAUGGACGAAAGUCUGACGGAGCGACGCCGCGUGGAUGAAGAAGGCCGAAAGGUUGUAAAGUCCUUUUGUUGGGGAAGAAUAAGCGCGGGAGGGAAUGCCCGCGUGAUGACAUGAACCGACGAAUAAGCCCCGGCUAACUACGUGCCAGCAGCCGCGGUAACACGUAGGGGGCGAGCGUUGUUCGGAAUUACUGGGCGUAAAGGGCAUGUAGGCGGCCUUGUAAGGCUGGCGUGAAAGUCACCGGCUGAACCGGUGGAUUGCGUCGGGAACUGCAGGGCUUGAGUCACGGAGAGGGAGCUAGAAUUCCUGGUGUAGGGGUGAAAUCUGUAGAGAUCAGGAAGAAUACCAAUGGCGAAGGCAAGCUCCUGGCCGAUGACUGACGCUGAGGUGCGAAAGUGUGGGGAUCAAAC
rnacentral:rRNA from 1 species